rnacentral:sRNA from 1 species
AAGUUUGAAACUGGUAACUUUGGGAGUUCAGCCACGAGCUGUUGUGCAUCCAGAGGUGGAAUUGGGGCCCGGCAUUCCCUCCUCGUCCCGGGCUGGCCCUUGCCCCCACCCUGCAACUCCUGGUUGAGAUGGGCUCAGCCAAGAGCGUCCCAGUCACACCAGCGCGGCCUCCGCCGCACAACAAGCAUCUGGCUCGAGUGGCGGACCCCCGUUCACCUAGUGCUGGCAUCCUGCGCACUCCCAUCCAGGUGGAGAGCUCUCCACAGCCAGGCCUACCAGCAGGGGAGCAACUGGAGGGUCUUAAACAUGCCCAGGACUCAGAUCCCCGCUCUCCUACUCUUGGUAUUGCGCGGACACCUAUGAAGACCAGCAGUGGAGGUAAGUGUUGGGCCCAGGGAAUGCUGAUGAAGCUGUCAUCUAUUAUUCUUGGGUAGGGUCCAUGAAGCCAUUCUCCCUUAAAGGGGCCUCCAUUCUCCUGCUUCGGACCCAUCUCACUCUUAUCUCAAUAUUUUAUUCCCAGGCUGGGUGCCGUGGCUCAUGCCUGUAAUCCCAGCACUUUGGAAGGCCGGGGUGGUCAGAUCGCUUGAAUCCAGGAGUUCAAGACCAGCCUAGGCAACAUGGCAAAACCCCAUCUCUAC